GUAAUGGAAAUUUAUUCUUUAUGCAUUUAUAUUAUUUUUGUAUUCUUCAUUGUAUGAUUUAUGUCAGUCAUGACAUUUUAAUCUGCGUGGGGUGAAGUCUAGGACAGGAAGUCUAGCUCGAUAGAGCUCGGGAUAGGAAGUAUGGCAAGGUGCAAGUGUGGUUUUUGUUUGUGUGAUGAUGUGCUUAAAGAACCUAUGUAUCGUCUGCCUGGAUACAAGUAGAGUAAAUAUAACCACCCAGAAGUGUCUAAACUACACCUAAUAAGGAGUUGUUUUGAUCGAAUAGCAUGGGGGGGGGUGGUACAAACUCAAUGUCAGUAUAUAAUGAAGGAAGGAUUUGAGAUUCUUCACUUCUUCACAUAUCGUUUCACUGUCGUUAUGUGUUGAGUCCUUGUACAAGUAAAUAAAUCAUCUCUGAUGGACAGAUCCUGGUAUUCGUAUUAUUUUUCCACGACAAUUUGGCGACGAGGAUGGCAUCCCAAUAACCCGAGGAAAGGGUCAACGGUUUGAUCAACUCACCAUAGAUAGGAGAGGUGACCCAAACCCCCAGCUGAAGGGACGUGGGCGUUGACUCUGAUCCGAAGGUGACGGGAUCCAGACGAACCAGUGGAGAUAAUACGAAGCCGACAUCACCCCCAUACGAUGAACAUAAAAAUGGAGCAGUCGGAGGAGCCCCGUGCUGCCAACUACACCAAUACCCCCUGCCUAUCUCUAUGACCACGCUGUGGCUGCACUGGACUCCUACGUGCAAACAACAAGAUGGAGAGACUGUGAGUAAUUUCCUGGCAAGAUUAGAAAAAGACUUUGAGAGACAUUCUGGCAUAACUGCAAAAAUGCCCAAUAAUGAACCCCACCCAGCGUACAGUAUGCACUUACCAAUGUACUUCAUGAGAAAUCUAGAUAUUGAACUGUCUGAACCUAUCAAAGCUACCCUGGACGGGGAGAAAAUGGCCACAUUGGAGGAAGUGGUGAGACAUGCGGAACACCACGAGAAGAGACUUAAACAAGAACGCCUCAAAAAGAACAGGGAGGCACAAGAUAUGAAUUUCACCAUGAUGCAAUGCACCCUUAACGAUCGACAACAACAGGAUCGUAACUCCGGUUUUCCAACACUUAACCCGCAGGGGAGAGGCGGCCACAGAGGAAGGGGCAGGGGUAAAGGCAGAGGACGGGGACGAGGGAACGGCCGGUGGAAUCAACGCGGAUGUUUCAACUGUGAUUCAAUGGAUCAUUGGAAAGAUCAAUGCCCCGAACUAAAAGUUCAAAAACCUCAUGCAGACUGAAAUGUGCUAAAUAGCGGGGAGGGGGCCGGUGGAGAGGAGACUGAAGUAGGUUCUUUUAUGCUCUGUCGCAAUGAAGAAUGCUUGGCCGGGGUAAGAAGUAUUUUUCCUACUUUACUCUGUGAUACUAAAUAAUCUUUCGCAAGAAAACCAUUUGAAAGUUUACAAUAUGUUUUAUUGUCUAUCUCAGGCAAAAAGAUUCUUUUUAUUGUAGAUUCAGGGGCCCCCACUUCAAUAUUGCUGAUUAUAUGCCCAAAUCUGUACAGAUGAUAAAAAAAAAAAUGAAAAAUGUUCCCUCAGUGCCGCAGGGCAUGUUGUUAAAGAAACUUUUUCUCAACCUUUACAAGGUAUAUAUGAACAUAAUCAAACUUCUUUUUUUUACCUCUUUUCUAAUUAGCAGAACUUGCCCAUAUAACUUGCUCGGUAGAGACAUCAUGUGUAAACUGCACAUGACGGUAUGGUGUGAUGAAGUGACUGGGUUGAAUGUGACUCUGUGUAAGGAAGUGUGCCUCAGUGUGUUUGUGGGGGAGAGGCCUGAGAGUGAUGCUGGUUUGAAAACACACUAAUGUACACGCCCAUCCUCAGAUUUUAUGUCACCAGAAGAUUUGCACUGCACAGCUCAUGUCACCUGGGAAAUCGAAGCAGAUUACCAAGCGGCGUGGGCACAGCAGUCUGGUGAUCAGUUGACCACAAAUUGGUUGUACUGGAAUGGGGCCUGGGCUGCAUUGAGUGUGAUGCUUCCUAAAUGUGCUUCUAUGUUGUAUGAUGUUGCAAAUGCUGGUCCUUACAUAUCACUGGCCAAAGCUACUGAUAUGAAAGGGAGUAUGUGGGCCCUAUAGUAAGUGCAUGCACAAAUGCCGCAAAUUGGCAUAUGUAAAAUGAUGACAUGUCUUAUUUUCCAUCCUUAGGUGUGCGGAGAACCGCAUACCAGAGCUAUUCUCUGCGAAAGCGCAGGGAAUAGCAGCGCAGCGACAGUUGGCAGCACACAUGGGGUGGAUCGGUCCACGAUGCCACUCCAUCAGUGGGCCACAGAUAAGUAUAAUGUGGGUCUCAUUAAAUCACGUGCGUCCGUAAAGAUCACACCAAAGAGUGAUUUUCGCCAGUGAAAACCAUAAGAUCCUCUCAAAAAAGAAGCAGAGGACUGUAUCAAACCUGUUUUUGAUUCGUUGUUCGCAAAAGGAAUUAUUAUUCCAUGCUCGUAGUAACCGGAAAAUACACCAAUAUUUCCGGUAAAGAAAAUUAGAGGAAAAGUUGAGCCCACUUAGGGGAGAUUUGUACAAGAUCUACAGGCAGUAAAUGCGGCUGUAGAAGCAAGGGCUCCGAACGUGCCCAACCCUUAUACCAUCCUGUUACAAAUAUCACAGAGCACCGCAUUUUACAUGACCGUGGACAUUUCCAAUGUGUUUUAUUCAGUGCCAGUACCUCUGGACAGCCAGUUUCGGGUGGCGUUAAUGUUCGCCAGCCGCAGAUUCAUGUUCACUAACCUUUGCCGGGGCUAUCGUGAGUACUAUAAUAUACCACUAAGCCCUGGCAAAAAGCCUGUCCACCCUAAACCUCCCAGAUGGGUUGACUUUGCUACAAUAUGUUGGUAAAGGUAAAGCUCAGAACACAAUCUGUAAAAUCAAAAAGUAUACCUUACUAUGAAAAUGCUGUUUACUUAUUUUUAAUUAAAAUGUUGAGUUUGCUUAAAAUAGCUACUUGUUGUUUAUAAGUUAAAACGUAAAGUUCACACAACUGAACCAAUUUAAGUAAAAUGACACAAAAUAGCCAAAAUGUUCUAUUGAGCAUGCGCAUUCGAGGGCAAUUCCCUUCCUCCACACCUGUUUCUAUUUUUUUUUAUUUCUAUGAGUAUUUUCCUGGAGGGCGUGGAACUGUAUGUAGAUCAUCCUUUCAAUUCCAUGUUAAAAAAGUGGUUUGGUAAAUGGAGUGUGUAGAUUUCAUCUGUGUUGUUGUCAAUAGGUGUAAUGAUUGCUAUUUCGAAUUGGUGUGGAUGUUGUUGCAUACCAUUUAUUAAGAGGUCUCAUCGAGAAAACAAUUGAUAAAGGUAUGACUAAAAUGAUGUACCAACGGGUCGAACAGGAGGAAAUUGAGAAUAAAAUUGAGGAGCAAAAUGAGGAUGAUAGUUGUGGGAGGGCUCUGCAAAUGAGGAGGUGCUAGUGGAACCUCGCCCCUCACACGACCCUCUACGGCUAAAGAUGGGCUGCCUGGGUUGAAGAGGAUCUGCAUGCUUACACAAUUUUACACAUACACAUAUAGGAAUGUAAUUAACUAUGUUUAGCUCACUAGUGAUUUGCAUAACAUACUCACAGUGAGAUUGCUCAAAUGCUGAUUCAUGAUAUAGAAAUGUUUACACUGGCCAGCCUGUAAGCUUUGGUGUGUUGAUGUUUCAUUUUAUCUUUAAUGUUGUUUUUUAGAAAUCUAUGUUUUUUUGAUGUGUGGUUUGUCACUUGUGUUAUUGCAUUAAUAAUGUGUUGAAAACCUAAGGCAAGCUCACAAGGGAUGAGUAAAUUGCUACUUUAAAAAUGUUGUUUUAAAGUGCAUUAACAAUCUGAUAACAACCAAGGUGAUCGCUUUUUAUGGUAAUUAUGACUGUAAAUUAGAGGAAGAGGAUCAAAUGGGGAAGGAGGAGUUUGAACUGGUCGAGUUCCUUAAAGUAUUACAAUCAAUGUUUAAACGAAGGGCUUCUGAGGGCAGCGUAAAAGCCUGCAGGGAAGUCUGGAUAAAAAUGUCAUUUGGACAUUGGGGUGGAAUUGUAAUGGAAAUUUAUUCUUUAUGCAUUUAUAUUAUUUUUGUAUUCUUCAUUGUAUGAUUUAUGUCAGUCAUGACAUUUUAAUCUGCGUGGGGUGAAGUCUAGGACAGGAAGUCUAGCUCGAUAGAGCUCGGGAUAGGAAGUAUGGCAAGGUGCAAGUGUGGUUUUUGUUUGUGUGAUGAUGUGCUUAAAGAACCUAUGUAUCGUCUGCCUGGAUACAAGUAGAGUAAAUAUAACCACCCAGAAGUGUCUAAACUACACCUAAUAAGGAGUUGUUUUGAUCGAAUAGCAUGGGGGGGGGUGGUACAAACUCAAUGUCAGUAUAUAAUGAAGGAAGGAUUUGAGAUUCUUCACUUCUUCACAUAUCGUUUCACUGUCGUUAUGUGUUGAGUCCUUGUACAAGUAAAUAAAUCAUCUCUGAUGGACA